UCAACCUUGAGUCGGAGAAGAGUCCUCCUUUUGGUAAAACAAAUUAAGAACCGUUUCCUCUCUCUCUCUCUCUCUCUCUCUCUCUCUCUCCUCUUCCAAUCUAAGCAAUAUCACAGCUGUAUUCACCUCUCUUUCUGUCUCUCUUGUGCUCUCUCUUUCUUUGUCUUUCUUUCUUCUUUCCUUUCUUUAAGCGCCGACACAAUUCUUCAAUUUCUUCCAUUCUGAUACUCUCUUAUUCUCUUUUAGAUCCAAUCUUUGUUUCUUGCAGUUCAAUCCCGAGUCCAAACGGAGUCAAUUUUACCAUAGAACACCGAUUUGGACUAACCCACCUGAAAAAGCUUUGAGCUUAGUCUGGAAGUUAGUUCUAACCGAGGUGGGUGUGCCUGCAAAAUCUGUACAAAGCCAGCUACAAAAUACAAAUCGCCUUGGAAUUUUCUGUCUUUGACAUUUUGGUUAAGUUGAGUCUAUUGAAGUUGGUGCUACGUAGGAAUUCGUAGAGAAAUGGUGGUUUCGUGAUAAAGGGUGAUCAGUGGAGAAUUUGUUGGUUUCUUUUAGUUAGGUACAGCCAUGGAGACGGCAGGGGCAACGACCACUCAGAGCUUGACGGACUCCUACAAAGGCAUGUCCUCUGAUAAUAUCAAAGGUUUGGUUUUGGCGCUAUCUUCAAGCAUCUUUAUUGGUGCUAGCUUCAUUGUUAAGAAGAAGGGCUUGAAAAAAGCUGGUGCUUCUGGUAUCAGGGCAGGUAGUGGAGGCUAUUCUUACUUGUACGAACCACUUUGGUGGGUUGGCAUGAUAACAAUGAUUGUUGGAGAAAUUGCUAAUUUUGCUGCUUACGCCUUUGCACCUGCUAUUUUGGUCACUCCCCUUGGCGCUCUCAGUAUUAUUAUCAGUGCGGUUCUAGCACAUAUUAUUUUGAAGGAGAAGCUACAUAUCUUUGGAAUUCUUGGUUGUGUUCUUUGUGUUGUGGGUUCUACAACUAUUGUCCUGCAUGCUCCUCAAGAACGUGAAAUUGAAUCAGUGAAAGAAGUUUGGGAUCUUGCUACAGAGCCUGCUUUUCUGUUCUAUGCAGCUUUGGUCAUAACAGCUGUAUUUGUACUGAUAUUCCACUAUAUCCCUGACUAUGGUCAGACACAUAUAAUGGUUUACAUUGGAGUUUGUUCUCUUGUUGGUUCUUUGUCGGUAAUGAGUGUUAAAGCUCUUGGAAUUGCAUUGAAGUUGACUUUGUCAGGAAUGAAUCAGCUAAUAUAUCCCCAAACAUGGGCCUUCACUUUAGUUGUAAUUACUUGUGUACUUACCCAAAUGAAUUAUUUGAACAAGGCACUGGAUACAUUCAACACUGCUGUUGUAUCUCCGAUUUACUAUGUUAUGUUCACAUCACUGACCAUUGUGGCUAGUGUAAUAAUGUUCAAGAGUCUGCUCCAUUCCAAUUUCAAAUAACCAUGCUAUUACUGGCUCUUAUUUCAUCUUGAUCAUCAAUAACCAACAUUGAAGUUCAAUUGUUUCAUAGGAUUGGGAUAGGCAGAGUCCAACUCAGAUUGUUACAGAAAUGUGUGGGUUUGUGACUAUCCUAUCAGGAACCUUUCUUCUUCAUAAAACAAAGGAUAUGGCUGAUGGGUCAAUGUCUCUGCCUGUAAGACUUCCUAAGCACUCAGAAGAGGAUGGCUAUGGUGCCGAAGGCAUCCCUCUUAGGCGUCAGGAGUCAUUAAGACCAUCGCAAAUUUGAACACCCAUCAGCUUUCUACAGACUUGAUAUUUUGGGGACGCACUACCUGACGUCAACCUGUAGUUUAUGAAAGUACCCCCAUCAGUUUCUUUUCGGGAUACAGUCAGGGAAGGGAAGGUGAGAUUUUCCCCUUCCGCGUUUCUUUUUGGCUUCACCAUGAGUCUAGCAUUAGCUGUUGCCUUGUAUACACUCCCCAAUUCAUACGGAAAGAGUUGGCCAAUGUAAUUUUGAGCACAUUGGUAAUAUAUAGUGCAUCUUUAUUCCAUUUAUCACGAAUUGGUGAGUUAACAAAAUGUUUCCCUUCCUAUUUUAUUUAUAUUGCAAGAAAAAUAUACGUACAAGCUUUUCAUUCUU